rnacentral:rRNA from 1 species
AGCAUAUCAAUAAGCGGAGGAAAAGAAACCAACAGGGAUUGCCCUAGUAACGGCGAGUGAAGCGGCAACAGCUCAAAUUUGAAAUCUGGCUCUUUCAGGGUCCGAGUUGUAAUUUGCAGAGGGCGCUUUGGCGUUGGCAGCGGUCCAAGUUCCUUGGAACAGGACGUCACAGAGGGUGAGAAUCCCGUACGUGGUCGCUGGCCUCCGCCGUGUAAAGCCCCUUCGACGAGUCGAGUUGUUUGGGAAUGCAGCUCUAAAUGGGAGGUAAAUUUCUUCUAAAGCUAAAUACUGGCCAGAGACCGAUAGCGCACAAGUAGAGUGAUCGAAAGAUGAAAAGCACUUUGGAAAGAGAGUCAAAUAGCACGUGAAAUUGUUGAAAGGGAAGCGCUUGCAGCCAGACUUGCCUGUAGUUGCUCACCCGGGCUCCUGCCCGGUGCACUCUUCUAUAGGCAGGCCAGCAUCAGUUUGGGCGGUUGGAUAAAGGUCUCUGUCAUGUACCUCUCUUCGGGGAGGCCUUAUAGGGGAGACGACAUGCAACCAGCCUGGACUGAGGUCCGCGCAUUUGCUAGGAUGCUGGCGUAAUGGCUGUAAGCGGCCCGUCUUGAAACACGGACCAAGGAGUCUAACAUCUAUGCGAGUGUUUGGGUGUCAAGCCCGAACGCGUAAUGAAAGUGAACGGAGGUGGGAACCCUUACGGGUGCACCAUCGACCGAUCCUGAUGUCUUCGGAAGGAUUUGAGUAAGAGCAUGGCUGUUGGGACCCGAAAGAUGGUGAACUAUGCUUGAAUAGGGUGAAGCCAGAGGAAACUCUGGUGGAGGCUCGCAGCGGUUCUGACGUGCAAAUCGAUCGUCAAAUUUGGGCAUAGGGGCGAAAGACUAAUCGA